ensembl:lncRNA
GUAAUGUGUAAACGUUAUAUUGAUUACUUUAUUUUGUGGUGCCUAAAAGUGUUCAUCUGUCAUCUACAAAAUGCUCUUAAUCUAUGAGCCGGAGAUCGAUUGCUCUGGUCUCCACCCAUAUUCCUGGGGAAAAUCGCGGUCUUUUCUCAUUACACUAAACCUUGAAUUGAGAAUACAACACCGUAUCACUCUCGUGAUUAUUUCGCCCCUGUUCUCAGAAGGUUGGCUGUGGCUAUGUGGAUGGUGGAGAGCAGAGCACUGUAGGGAGAGACACAAUCCCAGGAACAGCACAGACAAACCACACCAGCCAAACAGUCAGGGGGUUCUGCCUUUCCUUCUGUUUCUUGCACUACUUCACUCUUUUGUUCCCCACUGUCCCUCCUUCCUGGCAUACCAGUCUGGAAGAAGUCAUUUGGGGAGUAUUGCGGGGGAGGAGAGGGGGAAUUGUAGCGAUGGUGGUGAGGGCUGCUGUUCAGCUAUGACCUCAUCCUCUCUUUCUCCCGUGGAGGGAGUGAGAUCAUGGCUGUCGUAAAGAGGCAUUAAUGGUGUCUUAACUGGCCCAGACAGUACUGGAUCACCCACCUAAUUGCUGAAAUCCAAUUGGCUCCUUAACAACCGUGUGCCCAGGAUAAAUGGACAUUUGUGGAAGUAUGAAGCACACUCUGCCUAGAUGACAAAUGUGCAAUCCAUUUUAACAUAAAUUAUGUUUUCUCUUAGUGUGCAG